rnacentral:rRNA from 1 species
GAGUUUGAUUCUGGCUCAGAUUGAACGCUGGCGGCAUGCUUUACACAUGCAAGUCGAACGGCAGCACAGGGAGCUUGCUCCUGGGUGGCGAGUGGCGAACGGGUGAGUAAUGUAUCGGAACGUGCCUGGUAGUGGGGGAUAACUACUCGAAAGAGUGGCUAAUACCGCAUGAGAUCUUUGGAUGAAAGCGGGGGACCUUUGGGCCUCGCGCUACUGGAGCGGCCGAUAUCAGAUUAGGUUGUUGGUGGGGUAAAGGCCUACCAAGCCUGCGAUCUGUAGCUGGUCUGAGAGGACGACCAGCCACACUGGGACUGAGACACGGCCCAGACUCCUACGGGAGGCAGCAGUGGGGAAUUUUGGACAAUGGGCGCAAGCCUGAUCCAGCAAUGCCGCGUGCAGGACGAAGGCCUUCGGGUUGUAAACUGCUUUUGUACAGAACGAAAAGUCUCUGGCUAAUAUCUAGAGAUCAUGA